rnacentral:rRNA from 1 species
CUUGACUGUAGCCUGGAAUUGGGUUCGAGCUUUUCUUGCGCAGGCUAGGUGGGAGGCUAUGAAGAUUUCCUUCCGGGGAAGUUGGAGCCAACAGUGAGAGACCACUCUGGAAAGGCUAGAAUCCUCAUGGUGAUCCUUGAAUCAGGACACUUGACAGUUUCAGGCGGGCAGUUUUUCUGGGGCGGAAACCUCAUAAAAGGUAACUGAGGCGCGCAAAGGUCCCCUCAGUCUGGACGGAAAUCAGACAUUGAGUGUAAAGGCAAAAGGGGGCUUGACUGCAAGACCCACAAGUCGAGCAGGAGCGAAAGCUGGCCUUAGUGAUCCGACGGUUCCGUGUGGAAGGGCCGUCGCUCAACGAAUAAAAGUUA